GCUGGAGGAGACAAAAAUCCCAAAUAAGUGCCAACAAUGUACACAAUGAAGUAGAGAUUGCUAUUUAUUGAUGAUGUGAGUUUUUUGCAUUUACAAAUGCACAAAAAUGUCAUUUAAAGUAUAACUGAAGGAAAUAAAUCUGAUGUGAGUCUAAACAUAAGACUUACUAGCUGCAGUGAUGGUGAACACCAUACCAGGAAAGGCAGCCAGCCAGCUUAUGCCAUCUAUAAACGUACUACAGACAAAUAUUUUGCCAAUGUCAAUUGUUCUACUAAACUCUUCCCUCAUUAUGCUGACAAUUGCCUUGCAUUACGUUUACCAUAAAAUAACUCUCAUUGGCAUCCAAGCUUUAUAAAAACACCUUCAUUUUGCUCAAAAAGGGCAGUCAAUAGAUACAGAGAAGCCAAACUGAACAGCCUCAACAAAAUAAAAUUAACAUCAGCAGCAAAUCCUCUUGCUGAAGACUUCAGAUAUAGUGCACGUGUACCAAAGUUCUACAGUUGUUAAAAAGGUGCACACACACACUUAUUUUGUCCCUUGCCUCGACAAUCUGGUUUAUUAAGUCAGUUAUGGAUUUUAAUAGCUUUUUCAAGGUAAGUGUAGCGACUUCUCUUUGGGGCUUUAUUGAAAUGGUCAAGCCCUAGCCACGGCCUUGGAUGAGACAUGUUGCCUGGUUGGGGCUCAAAAUCUUUCAAGUUCACUUCAUACUCAUCUUCAUUGAGAUAUUGGUGUCGGCCCAUCAUUACAAUUGCAAAUUUAAACUUUUCAAAUUCUUUUUCCUGUAUGUCCAGCAUUGUCUGAAUCCGCUUCAUAACCUCUCUGAAGUGUUCGCCCUGGUGUAUCCUCAGCAAGAACGGAAUUCCAAAUGUCCCAAAAACCUCCUUGUGGAAAUGUGCCACUGUGAUUAGCAUCUCAUUUUCUUUAUCUAUAUCUACCUGGUCCAGAGGAAUUUCCUCUAUUCGAAACGUUCGACUUGUUGCGGGUGACAAACACUCUAACAGCUCAUCUUCCUGAUGGACGCCAAUUAUUUUGUAACUUACAAUUUCUAGCAGCCUUAAUUUCCCUGAACCUUUUUCAGAGAGCUCUACAACUUUUUUACAUUCUUCUAAGAGGUCCCGCACACACCCAUGCUUAUCUGGAUAUACUGUUAUUUCCUCUUCCCUAAAUUGGCUAUUUAGCCAUAUGCAUUUAAAACUUCUUCUGUUUUCAAAAUCAG
rnacentral:lncRNA from 1 species